AGAUUGAACGCUGGCGGCAGGCCUAACACAUGCAAGUCGAGCGGUAGAGAGGUGCUUGCAUCUCUUGAGAGCGGCGGACGGGUGAGUAAUGCCUAGGAAUCUGCCUAGUGGUGGGGGAUAACGUUCGGAAACGGACGCUAAUACCGCAUACGUCCUACGGGAGAAAGCGGGGGACCUUCGGGCCUCGCGCCAUUAGAUGAGCCUAGGUCGGAUUAGCUAGUUGGUGAGGUAAUGGCUCACCAAGGCGACGAUCCGUAACUGGUCUGAGAGGAUGAUCAGUCACACUGGAACUGAGACACGGUCCAGACUCCUACGGGAGGCAGCAGUGGGGAAUAUUGGACAAUGGGCGAAAGCCUGAUCCAGCCAUGCCGCGUGUGUGAAGAAGGUCUUCGGAUUGUAAAGCACUUUAAGUUGGAGGAAGGUUGUAACCUAAUACGUUGCAACUUUGACGUUACCGACAGAAUAAGCACCGGCUAACUUCGUGCCAGCAGCCGUA
rnacentral:rRNA from 1 species